rnacentral:rRNA from 1 species
CGGGGUAACCAAUUGUGAAUGGGGAGGAAGGGUUGGAAAGGAAUAACGGAGGACACACUCCCAUAAGGGGGGAGGCCAGCCGCGCCCCGUGUGGGGGUUCGGCCCCAAUCCAGCUUAUUAGACGGGAAAAUCGUUUUUUAAAAGCCCAGUGCAUCUCCGUAGGUGAACCUGCGGAGGGAUCAUUA